GGCCAAAGAGGGGGACCUUCGGGCCUCUCGCGUCAGGAUAUGCCUAGGUGGGAUUAGCUAGUUGGUGAGGUAAGGGCUCACCAAGGCGACGAUCCCUAGCUGGUCUGAGAGGAUGAUCAGCCACACUGGAACUGAGACACGGUCCAGACUCCUACGGGAGGCAGCAGUGGGGAAUAUUGCACAAUGGGCGCAAGCCUGAUGCAGCCAUGCCGCGUGUAUGAAGAAGGCCUUCGGGUUGUAAAGUACUUUCAGUCGUGAGGAAGGCGGAGGCGUUAAUAGCGGCGUCGUUUGACGUUAGCGACAGAAGAAGCACCGGCUAACUCCGUGCCAGCAGCCGCGGUAAUACGGAGGGUGCGAGCGUUAAUCGGAAUUACUGGGCGUAAAGCGCAUGCAGGUGGUUUGUUAAGUCAGAUGUGAAAGCCCGGGGCUCAACCUCGGAAUAGCAUUUGAAACUGGCAGACUAGAGUACUGUAGAGGGGGGUAGAAUUUCAGGUGUAGCGGUGAAAUGCGUAGAGAUCUGAAGGAAUACCGGUGGCGAAGGCGGCCCCCUGGACAGAUAC
rnacentral:rRNA from 1 species